rnacentral:rRNA from 1 species
CCUACGGGAGGCAGCAGUGGGGAAUAUUGCACAAUGGAGGGAACUCUGAUGCAGCGACGCCGCGUGAGUGAAGAAGUAAUUCGUUAUGUAAAGCUCUAUCAGCCGGGAAGAAAGUGACGGUACCUGAAAAAGAAGCUCCGGCUAAAUACGUGCCAGAAGCCGCGGUAAUACGUAUGGAGCAGGCGUUAUCCGGAUUUACUGGGUGUAAAGGGAGAGUAGGUGGCAGAGCAAGUCCGAAGUGAAAACCCAAAGCCCAAAUAUGGGAAUGCUGUAGAAACUGCUCAGCUAGAGUGCAGGAGAGGUAAGCGGAAUGCUUGGUGUAGCGGUGAAAUGCGUAGAUAUCACGCGGAACACCAGUGGCGAAGGCGGCUUGCUGGACUGUAACUGACACUGAGGCUCGAAAGCGUGGGGAGCAAACAGGAUUAGAUACCCCGGUAGUC